rnacentral:rRNA from 1 species
UGGGGAAUAUUGCACAAUGGGCGCAAGCCUGAUGCAGCAACGCCGCGUGAACGAUGAAGGUCUUCGGAUCGUAAAGUUCUGUUGCAGGGGAAGAUAAUGACGGUACCCUGUGAGGAAGCCCCGGCUAACUACGUGCCAGCAGCCGCGGUAAUACGUAGGGGGCUAGCGUUAUCCGGAUUUACUGGGCGUAAAGGGUGCGUAGGUGGUCUUUCAAGUCGGUGGUUAAAGGCUACGGCUCAACCGUAGUUAGCCUCCGAAACUGGAAGACUUGAGUGCAGGAGAGGAAAGUGGAAUUCCCAGUGUAGCGGUGAAAUGCGUAGAUAUUGGGAGGAACACCAGUAGCGAAGGCGGCUGUCUGGACUGCAACUGACACUGAGGCACGAAAGAGUGGGUAGCAAACAGG